rnacentral:pre_miRNA from 1 species
CUUGGAUGUGGGGGGGCCCUCAGCCCGGAUUGUGAGAGGGGGCAGGCCAGGCUGAGGGACCCCAUCAGUGCAUG